CCCUUAGAUGUUCUGGGCUGCACGCGCGCUACACUGAUGCGCUCAACGAGUUUACGACCUUGCCCGGAAGGGUUGGGUAAUCUUUUUAAAACGCAUCGUGAUGGGGAUAGAUUAUUGCAAUUAUUAAUCUUUAACGAGGAAUUCCUAGUAAGCGCGAGUCAUCAGCUCGCGCUGAAUACGUCCCUGCCCUUUGUACACACCGCCCGUCGCUCCUACCGAUUGAGUGGUCCGGUGAGGCUUUGGGAUCUGAGCGGAAAGAGCGUUUCGCUGUUUCUGCUCGGAAAACUCAGUCGAACCUUAUCAUUUAGAGGAAGGAGAAGUCGUAACA
rnacentral:rRNA from 1 species